UUAAUGUGUAAUAAAUUAUUGGAGAUAUCAUACAGAAUGAAUACAUGCAUACAUGUAUACAAGCAAAUCAAAUCAAAUUUUUUUUUUUUAUUAUUAUUUCUUCUCAACACAGUCAUUUCAUAAUUUUCGCAGAUUCUAGAUCUAUACAUUUUACACCCCUUGCAGAAUCGAGAAGACGUCGUGUUAAACCAGCUUUAAAAAAUAUAAUUAUCCGUACAUUAGCUGACGUUGUCAAAAACUGUGGACGCUUAAAUUUGACAACCCUUGUAGACAAUAGAAGAGUUACUGGAACAUCUUUAAAAAAUAUAACGUGACGUGCAUUAGGAACUAAUAUUUCUGAAGUUGAUGAUGACGAAAUUAAAUCUUUAUGGCGGAUAUGUCGUUUGAUGGGAUUGUACAUGAGUGCACAAUCACCAACAUCCUACAUAAAAAAUGUUCUGAUUGACACCAAUAGGAAUUGUAUCAUGGAUGAUGGAAUUACACAAAAAAGAUACAAACAAAUUAAUGGCGUAUGGUGGGAAAUGGACUUAGAUGACCGUAGAGUACAACUACUUCAGGAGCAGUUGAUAUAAUUUCGACCAAGAAUUAAUGGUACAACUCAUCAUAAUUUAUAUUAUAAUCUUUUCGUUAUCAUAAAUUAUUUUCAACAAACAAAAUCAAACUAUACCUACAUCUUAAAAAUAAAUCUCAUCACUUGUUUCCUAUUUCAUUUAUCUCAUAUUUUAUUCUGUUAUGUUUGGAAUAAUCUAUUGAUCGUUUUACUGGUCUAUUGGCAAUUGUAUAAUGUUCUAAAAAAUUUAAAUAAGUUAACAAUCAAAAUAUUGUAAAAAAACGACCCCAACAUGAUUUUUUUUUGUGUUUUACAUUAAAAUUAAAACGCUAUACGAA